UGCUGAAGGAUCUUGAGUGCUCCUGCCAGAAAGGAAAGUAUUUAUUAUCUCUCUUUUACAGAUGAGGAAACUGAGACACUGUGAAAUUAAAAGCUUGGGGAAAUUAGUACACAGUAAAUUACGGUGUGAAUGUACUGUGUACGAACCACCCUGCACGAACUCAUCAGGCGGACUGGCAAAGAAAAAGGAUUAAAGUCCUUUAAAUUAUCUCGCAUUUACCACGGACAGGCAGCUACCACGGAUCAGCCCCUUUGGAACCCGCAGCGAGCCGUCCAUGAGGCGAAUCCCUGGGAGGAGAGGAAGGACAGAGGGAUUGCAGGCUGCAUCCAGGGAGCACAGGCAAACCAGGCUCACUGGGAUCUAAUGUUGUAAAGGAAGAAGUUUCUCAGGACAUCGGUGACUUGCUAGCUGAGAGCGAGAAGUAAUCUGUAGUGUCUCAUGACUCUGCUGGAUGAACAGUGUGGUCACAGUGACUUUUGGAGCAACGGUCACUGCUGGAGUUAAAGGAAGUUUUGGUUCCCAAAACCAGAAAGAAGGAAGUGGAGGAGGGAACAGCUUGAGAACUAUCACAAGGAUGAUAAGGAAGGGAAGAACUGCACACGUGAGAGGUGAUGCCAAGGAGUAAGAUCUGAGUUCCUAUUGUACUGGAACUGCUGCAUGAAAACAAAUUUGCCUGUGUGUUUCUACCAAACCCUGAAGGCUUGAGCACAGACAAACACAGGGAUGAGGAGGGACUCCUGGUGUGCAUCAAUCAGACUUCAGUGAAGAGGGACCAAAAUAGCUGAUUAGUUGGUCCAUAGCACGCUAUCCUCAGAACGAAACCCAGACCUUCAGGUAUCCCAGCAAAGAUCUUAAAGUGUCUCAUUUUCCCUCAUACAUCUCCAUAGCCAGCAAAAAUAUUCCAGGAAAUGUUCCUCAUUUCAACACUAGGUACGUCAGGUAAAGGUAUUUUAAGCAGGAGAUAGUUUAAGCAGAGUGACACAUAUUUCCAUGCUUUCCUAACCCCCGCUUGAAAGCACAUCUGCCAGUAAGUAGUUUGUAACUUGACAGUCAGCCACGGCUAUUUUUUCAAUGCUGUAUAAUGUUCUAUAAUAUUCUCAUUCCCUGUUGCUGACCUUUUUUUUUCCUUCACUUUCUCUCUUUUUUUCCCCUCUUUUUGUAGUAACCUUUUUACCUUCUUUUCCCCUGCUUAGACCCAUUAGCAGGAUGUUGUGCAAUAUGGUGCUUGUCAUCUGUUUCAAAGACACAGUGAUGAGAUACAGGUAUGCCAGAUGGAUAAACCUAGUGUGACUAAUUAUUGUGUAUUUGCCUUUAAUUAUUAUCAUUUAUUACCAGAGAAAAGACAAUAGAGGUUCUCAGACUCAGAAGGGAAUGUCGGCAGAAGGGGAUUGUUUUCUU